rnacentral:rRNA from 1 species
ACUAAGCGUACACGGUGGAUGCCCUGGCAGUCAGAGGCGAUGAAGGACGUGCUAAUCUGCGAUAAGCGUCGGUAAGGUGAUAUGAACCGUUAUAACCGGCGAUUUCCGAAUGGGGAAACCCAGUGUGAUUCGUCACACUAUCAUUAACUGAAUCCAUAGGUUAAUGAGGCGAACCGGGGGAACUGAAACAUCUAAGUACCCCGAGGAAAAGAAAUCAACCGAGAUUCCCCCAGUAGCGGCGAGCGAACGGGGAGCAGCCCAGAGCCUGAAUCAGUGUGUGUGUUAGUGGAAGCGUCUGGAAAGGCGUGCGAUACAGGGUGACAGCCCCGUACACAAAAAUGCACAUAUUGUGAGCUCGAUGAGUAGGGCGGGACACGUGGUAUCCUGUCUGAAUAUGGGGGGACCAUCCUCCAAGGCUAAAUACUCCUGACUGACCGAUAGUGAACCAGUACCGUGAGGGAAAGGCGAAAAGAACCCCGGCGAGGGGAGUGAAAAAGAACCUGAAACCGUGUACGUACAAGCAGUGGGAGCACGCUUAGGCGUGUGACUGCGUACCUUUUGUAUAAUGGGUCAGCGACUUAUAUUCUGUAGCAAGGUUAACCGAAUAGGGGAGCCGAAGGGAAACCGAGUCUUAACUGGGCGUUAAGUUGCAGGGUAUAGACCCGAAACCCGGUGAUCUAGCCAUGGGCAGGUUGAAGGUUGGGUAACACUAACUGGAGGACCGAACCGACUAAUGUUGAAAAAUUAGCGGAUGACUUGUGGCUGGGGGUGAAAGGCCAAUCAAACCGGGAGAUAGCUGGUUCUCCCCGAAAGCUAUUUAGGUAGCGCCUCGUGAAUUCAUCUCCGGGGGUAGAGCACUGUUUCGGCAAGGGGGUCAUCCCGACUUACCAACCCGAUGCAAACUGCGAAUACCGGAGAAUGUUAUCACGGGAGACACACGGCGGGUGCUAACGUCCGUCGUGAAGAGGGAAACAACCCAGACCGCCAGCUAAGGUCCCAAAGUCAUGGUUAAGUGGGAAACGAUGUGGGAAGGCCCAGACAGCCAGGAUGUUGGCUUAGAAGCAGCCAUCAUUUAAAGAAAGCGUAAUAGCUCACUGGUCGAGUCGGCCUGCGCGGAAGAUGUAACGGGGCUAAACCAUGCACCGAAGCUGCGGCAGCGACGCUUAUGCGUUGUUGGGUAGGGGAGCGUUCUGUAAGCCUGCGAAGGUGUGCUGUGAGGCAUGCUGGAGGUAUCAGAAGUGCGAAUGCUGACAUAAGUAACGAUAAAGCGGGUGAAAAGCCCGCUCGCCGGAAGACCAAGGGUUCCUGUCCAACGUUAAUCGGGGCAGGGUGAGUCGACCCCUAAGGCGAGGCCGAAAGGCGUAGUCGAUGGGAAACAGGUUAAUAUUCCUGUACUUGGUGUUACUGCGAAGGGGGGACGGAGAAGGCUAUGUUGGCCGGGCGACGGUUGUCCCGGUUUAAGCGUGUAGGCUGGUUUUCCAGGCAAAUCCGGAAAAUCAAGGCUGAGGCGUGAUGACGAGGCACUACGGUGCUGAAGCAACAAAUGCCCUGCUUCCAGGAAAAGCCUCUAAGCAUCAGGUAACAUCAAAUCGUACCCCAAACCGACACAGGUGGUCAGGUAGAGAAUACCAAGGCGCUUGAGAGAACUCGGGUGAAGGAACUAGGCAAAAUGGUGCCGUAACUUCGGGAGAAGGCACGCUGAUAUGUAGGUGAAGUCCCUCGCGGAUGGAGCUGAAAUCAGUCGAAGAUACCAGCUGGCUGCAACUGUUUAUUAAAAACACAGCACUGUGCAAACACGAAAGUGGACGUAUACGGUGUGACGCCUGCCCGGUGCCGGAAGGUUAAUUGAUGGGGUUAGCGCAAGCGAAGCUCUUGAUCGAAGCCCCGGUAAACGGCGGCCGUAACUAUAACGGUCCUAAGGUAGCGAAAUUCCUUGUCGGGUAAGUUCCGACCUGCACGAAUGGCGUAAUGAUGGCCAGGCUGUCUCCACCCGAGACUCAGUGAAAUUGAACUCGCUGUGAAGAUGCAGUGUACCCGCGGCAAGACGGAAAGACCCCGUGAACCUUUACUAUAGCUUGACACUGAACAUUGAGCCUUGAUGUGUAGGAUAGGUGGGAGGCUUUGAAGUGUGGACGCCAGUCUGCAUGGAGCCGACCUUGAAAUACCACCCUUUAAUGUUUGAUGUUCUAACGUGGACCCGUAAUCCGGGUUGCGGACAGUGUCUGGUGGGUAGUUUGACUGGGGCGGUCUCCUCCUAAAGAGUAACGGAGGAGCACGAAGGUUGGCUAAUCCUGGUCGGACAUCAGGAGGUUAGUGCAAUGGCAUAAGCCAGCUUGACUGCGAGCGUGACGGCGCGAGCAGGUGCGAAAGCAGGUCAUAGUGAUCCGGUGGUUCUGAAUGGAAGGGCCAUCGCUCAACGGAUAAAAGGUACUCCGGGGAUAACAGGCUGAUACCGCCCAAGAGUUCAUAUCGACGGCGGUGUUUGGCACCUCGAUGUCGGCUCAUCACAUCCUGGGGCUGAAGUAGGUCCCAAGGGUAUGGCUGUUCGCCAUUUAAAGUGGUACGCGAGCUGGGUUUAGAACGUCGUGAGACAGUUCGGUCCCUAUCUGCCGUGGGCGCUGGAGAACUGAGGGGGGCUGCUCCUAGUACGAGAGGACCGGAGUGGACGCAUCACUGGUGUUCGGGUUGUCAUGCCAAUGGCACUGCCCGGUAGCUAAAUGCGGAAGAGAUAAGUGCUGAAAGCAUCUAAGCACGAAACUUGCCCCGAGAUGAGUUCUCCCUGACCCUUUAAGGGUCCUGAAGGAACGUUGAAGACGACGACGUUGAUAGGCCGGGUGUGUAAGCGCAGCGAUGCGUUGAGCUAACCGGUACUAAUGAACCGUGAGGCUUAACC